GCAUGAAGCUGGAAUCGCUAGUAAUCGCGAAUCAGCAUGUCGCGGUGAAUACGUUCCCGGGUCUUGUACACACCGCCCGUCACACCAUGGGAGUCGGAAAUGCCCGAAGCCAGUGACCCAACCUUUAAGGAGGGAGCUGUCGAAGGCAGGUCUGGUAACUGGGGUGAAGUCGUAACAAGGUAGC
rnacentral:rRNA from 1 species